rnacentral:rRNA from 1 species
UACGUAGGAGACAAACGUUAUCCGGAGUUACUGGGCGUAAAGGGCGUGUAGGUGGUAAUGUAAGUCUGGCGUGAAAUUUUUCGGCUUAACCGGGAAAGGUCGUCGGAUACUGCAUCACUAGAGGACGGUAGAGGCGUGUGGAAUUCCGGGUGUAGUGGUGAAAUGCGUAGAGAUCCGGAGGAACACCAGUGGCGAAGGCGGCUCACUGGUCCGGUACUGACGGCUGAGGU